UACGUAGGUGGCAAGCGUUAUCCGGAUUUAUUGGGCGUAAAGGGAACGCAGGCGGUCUUUUAAGUCUGAUGUGAAAGCCCACGGCUCAACCGUGGAGGGUCAUUGGAAACUGGGAAACUUGAGUGCAGAAGAGGAAAGUGGAAUUCCAUGUGUAGCGGUGAAAUGCGCAGAGAUAUGGAGGAACACCAGUGGCGAAGGCGACUUUCUGGUCUGUAACUGACGCUGAUGUGCGAAAGCGUGGGGAUCAAACAGG
rnacentral:rRNA from 1 species